rnacentral:rRNA from 1 species
GCCUACGGGAGGCAGCAGUGAGGAAUAUUGGUCAAUGGGCGAGAGCCUGAACCAGCCAAGUCGCGUGAGGGAAGACGGUCCUAUGGAUUGUAAACCUCUUUUGCCGGGGAGCAAAAAGCGGUACGUGUACCGCAUCGAGAGUACCCGGAGAAAAAGCAUCGGCUAACUCCGUGCCAGCAGCCGCGGUAAUACGGAGGAUGCGAGCGUUAUCCGGAUUUAUUGGGUUUAAAGGGUGCGCAGGCGGGGAGUUAAGUCAGCGGUAAAAUUUCGGGGCUCAACCCCGCCGAGCCGUUUAAACUGGCUUG